CCUACGGGAGGCUGCAGUAGGGAAUCUUCCACAAUGGGCGAAAGCCUGAUGGAGCAACGCCGCGUGGGUGAAGAAGGUCUUCGGAUCGUAAAACCCUGUUGUUAGAGAAGAAAGUGCGUGAGAGUAACUGUUAACGUUUCGACGUCAUCUAACCAGAAAGCCACGGCAAACUACGUGCCAGCAGCCUCGGUAGUACGUAGGUGCCAAGCGUUAUCGGGAUUUGUUGGGCGUAAAGGGCACGCAGGCGGUCUUUUAAGUCAGAUGUGAAAGCCUAUGGCUGAACCAGAGUAGUGCAUUGGAAACUGUGAGACUUGAGUGCAGAAGAGGAGAGUGGAACUCCAGGUGUAGCGGUGAAAUGCGUAGAUAUAUGGAGGAACACCAGUGGCGAAAGCGGCUCACUGGGCUGUAACUGACGCUGAGGUUCGAAAGCGUGGGUAGCAAACAGGAUUAGAUACCCCAGUAGUC
rnacentral:rRNA from 1 species